GCAUGGUUGUCGUCAGCUCGUGUCGUGAGAUGUUGGGUUAAGUCCCGCAACGAGCGCAACCCCUAUUGUUAGUUGCCAUCAUUCAGUUGGGCACUCUAGCGAGACUGCCGGUAAUAAACCGGAGGAAGGUGGGGAUGACGUCAAAUCAUCAUGCCCCUUAUGACCUGGGCUACACACGUGCUACAAUGGUUGGUACAACGAGUUGCGAGUCGGUGACGGCGAGCUAAUCUCUUAAAGCCAAUCUCAGUUCGGAUUGUAGGCUGCAAUUCGCCUACAUGAAGUCGGAAUCGCUAGUAAUCGCGGAUCAGCACGCCGCGGUGAAUACGUUCCCGGGCCUU
rnacentral:rRNA from 1 species